rnacentral:rRNA from 1 species
AUUGAACGCUGGCGGCAGGCUUAAUACAUGCAAGUCGAACGGUAACAGCAGAAAAGCUUGCUUUUUUGGCUGACGAGUGGCGGACGGGUGAGUAAUACCUAGGAAACUGCCUAAACGAGGGGGAUAACAUUUGGAAACGAGUGCUAAUACCGCAUAAUACUGAGAAGUCAAAGGUUGGUUUACCAAUCGCGUUUAGAUGUGCCUAGGAGGGAUUAGCUAGUUGGUGAGGUAACGGCUCACCAAGGCGACGAUCAGUAGCCGGACUGAGAGGUUUAUCCCCCACACUGGUACUGAGACACGGACCAGACUCCUACGGGAGGCAGCAGUGAGGAAUAUUGGACCAAUGGGAUGGAAAUCUGAUCCAGCCAUGCCGCGUGCGGGAUGACGGCCCUAUGGGUCUUAAACUGCUUUUGUAUGGGAGCAAUAAGUUCUACGUGUAGGAUGAUGAGAGUACCAUACGAAUAAGCAUCGGCUAACUCCGUGCCAGCAGCCGCGG